rnacentral:rRNA from 1 species
GACGAACGCUGGCGGCGUGCCUAACACAUGCAAGUCGAGCGGAGUUGCGCAAGCAACUCAGCGGCGGACGGGUGAGUAACGCGUGAGUAACCUGGCCUAUACAGGGGGAUAACAACGAGAAAUUGUUGCUAAUACCGCAUAAGACCACAGCACCGCAUGGUGUGGAGGUCAAAGAUUUAUUGGUAUAGGAUGGACUCGCGUCCCAUUAGCUAGUUGGUAAGAUAACAGCCUACCAAGGCAACGAUGGGUAGCCGACCUGAGAGGGUGAUCGGCCACACUGGGACCUGAGACACGGCCCAGACUCCUACGGGAGGCAG